rnacentral:rRNA from 1 species
CGUGUAGGCGGGAAGGAAAGUCAGAUGUGAAAUCCCCAGGCUCAACCUGGGAACUGCAUUUGAAACUCCCUUUCUUGAGUACCGGAGAGGAAAGUGGAAUUCCUGGUGUAGAGGUGAAAUUCGUAGAUAUCAGGAGGAACACCAGUGGCGAAGGCGGCUUUCUGGACGGUAACUGACGCUGAGACGCGAAAGCGUGGGGAGCAAACAAG